rnacentral:lncRNA from 1 species
GUGCUUAAAACAUGUGCUUGUGAUUCUUGUGAAAAUGGGGUUUAUGCAAUUGGUUAUGGUAAGUUAUUGGCUUGCUUAGGGCGGAAGCAUUGCUGUGAUGGUACUUAGAAGGGAAGACUAAGGGCAAAAACAGAGUCAUUUGAAGCUAAACAGAGUGAGGGAUAUUAAGUUAAGGAAACAGAUAGUAGAAAGAAUAGUAUUGGGACUGGUUUCGGUGAUAUUUGUCGCCACAUGCUUGGUUUUGGAGGCAGGUGUUAAUGCUAAAGAGGUGUGGUGAAACAUGGUGGGGGAUUUUGGUGAGUUGUGGGGUUGGUUGUUCCUGUGAAGGUGCUCAAUUAUGAUGAGUGUGUUGGUAUUUGGGAUUUGGGAUUUGGGUUUUGGAUUCAUACUUGGUGUGGGAUUAAUCAAUUAACAUGGUGACACAGCAAAGGCCAUGCUACCUUAAGGUUCCGUCAUAGUUUACACUAUUGAUUUCAUGACAAGUAAGACAGAGAAGUGCAGCAAUGAAGCCAAGUAAGAUAGUGAAGUGACACAGAUUUUUUAUCUGGCAUGCUGUGAGGUGAAUACAAAUUAUUUUGCAACCACAGCACUACCUAAGUCAGAAUUUUGCCUUUAUGAAAAUAGGCAAGUGAACCACGGUUUCAAGAUAAACCUAAUUGUUAAUAAAUUAGCAAAAGGCUUACAUAUAUAUUCGUUUUCUUUUCAAAUUCACCUUUUUUUUUUUUCAUGUUAUUAUUAAAAUACAAUUUAAUCAUAACGGACUAAAUUGUAUUUAAUCAUACAUGUUUUAGACCAAAAAUAAUGUGAAAAUAGAAGCUACUUUUACAUACUUUUUUUAAAGUUUCUUAACAUUUAGGGGUAACUUGAAACUGUCAUUCGUUUUUAGUAACCAGACAAACCAUUUUACCAUUAGAUGGUAACAAGAUGAAUGAUCAAUUUGACCUUUAAAUAUGUAAAUCUUGGAAUUGGUCCCUAAAAUUUACAAUUUAAUCUCAGUUUGAUCCUAAAUAGAAUACAAUUCAGAUACAUAGGUCCAUUCAAUUCUAUUAGGAUAGAUUCUAUAGACAUCCACUUAUAUUUAUAUAUAUUAUAAUUUGGUGAUAUAUAUUGUGGAUGUGAUUUCUCUCACAUUAAGCUAUAAUAUUCAGAUAAAACCAGUUGCCUCUUAUGCAUUCAAUUACAAAAUCAGAUUUUUCUUUCAUUCAAAUUCUAUAUUAACUCACAUUUAGGCACCCAGUUGGCUGUUUUCUUGUACAUGUUGGAAUGGCUAAUAUCGUAAACAGUAAAUGGUCAUUUUCUCCCUUGAAUGUGUAAAUUGGAUAAUUGAGUUGAGAUCCAGAAUGGAAAUUCUAAUUCAAUCCAUAAUCCAUAAAUAUAUGAAAAAAGCAAAGAUUAUGUCCUGCCAUGAAGUUUUUUCGGUCUAUUUUGUCAUUAACUUGUAAGGUUUAAGGACCAAUUUAAAGUAGUAAAAUUUAGAGACUAAUUUGUUAUUCAGUUAUACAGUAAAAAUUAAUUAUAGUACUUUUCACACCUUCGAGAAAUAAAUAAGAACUUUUAUCAAAUCAUCUCCAAUUUACAUAUUGAGAUAGUACAGUUGUCAUUUUUCAUGUUUUAAAAUAUAAUUUUACAUCGUUAUGACCCCAAAAGUUGUCAUGCUUGUUAGUUCUGCAUUUUGUUGAUCCACUUACAUAUAUGUUAAUGCACAUCAUUUAACCUGCUCUAAAGUAUAAUUGCACAGCAUCAUGACUCCUACAGUUGUCAUGCACAUUUGUUUUGCUUGUGCAUUUUGUUAAUUCAAAUCAGUGUCUUUUGACAUGUAUGUUAAUGCACAUCAGUAGAACCACUUGUACUGUUUUUGUUAAAUACGGUUUUUUUAUCACAGUUUCAUAUUAAUGUCACAUGACUUUUAUUCAAACUUUCAUUCAGAUAACUUCACAUGACUAGCUACUUUAUUUAUGUGGCGGUAACACACGAAAAUAGUAAAUGGACUCUGUUGUUUGUUACUUAAAACUAAGUUUAAUAAUGGUAAAAACUCUGCAUAUUGCCCACUCUAACACUACGCUCCUUUAUUACAAGGACCGUUUAAUCAAAGGAGAUUCUCUGCAGAAAGUCUGGUCUAUAUUUGUCUUUAGGGCUAGGCAUUGGUAUAGGCGGUUGUCUCCGUCCUUAUCUCUUACCCUGUGCAGAUAUUACUAGUUUUAACCAUUACAAAAGUCCAACUUCCUCAUGGAUACAUUGUUUUGCAGGACCAGUAAAAAUUUAACACUAUCUCAUCCAACAGAUUGCGUAAACCAUGGCAACUUGGUGCUCUGGAGUUUCAGGUGAGUGGUUUCAUUGUUUCGAAAUUUAAAAUUUUAAAGUCUAUUUGUGUAUUUUGGUAUUAUUCUUGCUGAAAUUUGUUUUGUAUAUUCUGAGAUUAAACUUCUGAAAAGAUAUUUGUUACAUAUUUUAGAUAGUGCAUAAGAUAUACACUGAGUUCAAGCCAAUGAGAAGACCUAUGAAACUUUAAUUUCAGAAUGUGUAACAAGUAGACUUUUAGGGAGUUUAAUUUCGGAAUAUAUAGCAAAUAAAAAUCUGAAAGCUUAAUUUGGAAAUAUACAGAGACUUUCAAAAGUUCCAUACUGAAACAUAUAAGAUAAACUUUCAGUAGUUUGAUUGCAAAACUGCAAAUAGACUCUGGAAAGUUUAAUUUGGAAACCAAUUUUUACCAAGUUUCGGAUCUUGCAUAGUUUUAGAGAAAAUAAUGAAAAGAUCAAGGGUGGUUCAAAAAUAAUUGCCAUGUUUCCAUCAUAACAAGUAAAAAAAAAAAAAAAACUUGGAUCUUUUUACUCUUACAUAGGUAAUUAUUUUUUCAGAGAUAAUCUUUUUUGUAAUAUAGUUCCAGUUAAGGCUGCUCACCCCUUCCCCUCAUUGGGUGCAGAUUGAAUCCAUUCUGAAUCUGUUGCAGACAGUCUUAUCCUGUAUUUCUAAUAAUUUGAUUCCACUGCUUUCAAAAAUCGAGAAUUCUAACCAUUGGGCCUAGGUAAAAUAUGCCUGGUCGAAUUUGAUGUUAUACAAACUUGUCCUUCCUAUUUCCAAUGUGCAUAGAUAUGCUGAAUUCAAGCUCCAAUAUGGGGAAGACACAGGAAUGGAAUAAUUUCCCCUCAGUUAUCUAUGAAAGCAAGGCCGAUUAUGUUGCAGAUGCAAUUAAACACUAAAUGUAGUUAUAUUUUCUAUUGCAAUUUAAACCUUAAUUCUUGACAUUGUGAAAUAAAAGAGUAACCAUUUUCUGUAAAGACCGAACUUCGUAUGGACAUUUGAGAAUAACUGCAUUUUGAGAGAUUGUUAAAAACAGUUAAAUAAAAGAAAGAUCAGAUCAUUACCUGCAAAGACACAUGUAAGAAGGACCAAACUUGUCAAACUCUCAACUUAACUUCUAAACACUUCCAAGUUUACGGUUUAUUUAGAAAGGGAUUAAAGAAAGUUAAGAAAACGAGUUAACAAAUUUUAAAUUUUGGCUGUUCAUUGACUAUAUUUUUAUGAAAUUAUAUAUGAUUUGACCAUUUUAUAUUUGAAUUUUAUUAUGAAAUUCAAAUGUUAGACUAUUGUUGUAUAUUUUCUAAGAGAUUGUUAUUAUAUUAAAAGUAUAAUGUUACGAAUAUAACAUUUAUAUUUGUUCUUAAACUUUUCUUAAUCUCUGGUAGUUUAAUUUGACAAUCUUCGGCAAGACCCACAGUUACAAAAAGAUGGUUUUAGGUUUAUUUCUCUAUUUUGGUGUUUUUCUCUUCUCUGUGGGCAUAGUCUGCUUCCAGACUGUGGGCUAUUCAUGUUGAAUAUUAGCCGGAGAAUAAACCAAAUGACUUUUUUUUUUUUAUCACUUUGCAAUGAUCAGAUCACGACACAAGAAUGGAUGAACAGUUCUUUUCCUCUUUUUCCCUUCAAGUUAUUUAUAGGAAAAUGAUUAUAGUUAUUUGAGAUUACAUUUAAAAUAAUUAUUUUACACUAGUGUGAAAUAAUAGGUUGGUUUUGAAAGGAAGGGCUCAAUAGAACUUAAAGUUUUUUUGUGCAAGUGAUAGAUUGUCUAACGUGUUGGCAAGAAUAAUAUUUAAUUAACCUACAACUCUUAAGAAGUGACGAAUUCUUCUUUUUGAGAAACUUUUCAUAAGAUUUCACUAAUAUAUUUUUUUUUUUAUUACAAACAUGAAUAUAUAAACUAUUUUUGUGUAUCCCUUUUCAAUCUCUCAUUAAGACUGGGAACUCGAAUACUCUAUAAUUAUUAUUUUUGACUAGAAACGCAUAGUAAGAUGAGAACAAGAUUAACUUUUUAAGAGAAGAGCUUAGAAAUCACGCAAUAGAAAAAUAAUAUAUUCAAGCAUAAGCAAAUAAGAGCAUAUAUAAAAACAUAAAUUUAAGGUGGUUUGACACAUAAGGCCUAUGUCCAUGAAUAAACAACUAUUCAAGUUCCAUAUACAUCCAAGAGACCUAUUGAAUAGUGUUAAUCACUCUCACAUAAAGUUUUUGUAUUACAAGUGUAGCUUCUUUUUUGUUAUUGUACUACAAACGAAUUAUUAUGUUGAUACUUGUUGUAUUGAACCAACCAAUUACCAUUGUGAUAAUAAGUCAACUAUUAGUAUUGCUCAUAAUCUAAUUCAAUAUGAUAGUGUUAAUAUGUAUAAAUGUAAUUAUCAUGUCUCUAAUAGAUCAUUUUAUACCUUUUAGAUAGUCAUUAGGAAUCCCUUUAUACCUUUUAGAUAGUCGUUAGGAAUCUCCUAUAAUUACUCCUUAUAAAUAGAAAAUCUCAUAUAAUCUCUCCCUUUAUUGCAUAUCUCUUGAAUCUCUCACAAUAAUGUAAAUAUAUGUUAUACCAC